CACAAACAACUUUGAGUCCCGGGAGGGCGGAGGUGGAGAGAGAUUCUCCGCUUGGAUAAGGGCGGCUGGAUAGCCGAGUACUCUCUUUUGGGGCUGUUGGCCGUCUCCGGAGUCUCGGGAGCGCCUUGAUGUCCCUUCCCAGGGCUCGGGUUCCUUUGAGAGAAUCAAGAGGAAGGUGUUUUUCACUAGGACUCGCGGUGGGCCCCACCUGCCUACCGUGGCCGGCCGGGAGCUAUUACAGCAGGGUCUGCCCGUCCGACGACGGCGGCUCCAAUCUGGGGUCCCGCCGGCGCCGACCCCUCAGCUCUCUCCCGAUACCUGCUGGCCUCUCUCAUCUUUGGUGGCACUCGCCGCCACGGGGACGGUGAGAUCAAAGAGGUAGACCUAGGCCAGGAGGGACUGCCAGGGCUCCUUCCCGCGGGCCAGCCUCUCGUCCUUCCUCCCGGGACGGGGCUCUUUCCCUUUCUCCGGAUGCGGGCCUUUGAGAGUCAGCGACGCCUUAGACUCCUCCCAGAAAAAUGCACCCUCAUCUACCCAAUUCUGCCCUACCCUUUGGAGCUCCUGGACCCUCUAACCGCUCGGUGGGGUCAGAGCCCACCCCCGGAAGGGCCGCUGGUCGGGGACUGGUUCGCCCUCUCCUGGCCUCCUCGGACCAGUGCGCGGGGAGGAUCCCGCUAACGCCGGGCGCCUGCAGACCUUGAGCGGCCUCGCCCUGGUGACCUCCCCGGGAAAGGCUGGGCGGUGCUUCCACAAUGAGGGCCACCUGUUAAUUUGCACGAGAAAGUGCUGCCGAGGGCCCACACGUGCGAAUCCACCUGUGGAGUGCGUCCCCUCUCUGGGGCCAAGGCCUAGGGGAGGCCGAAGCGGAGAAGUUGCCUGAAGACUGGGAAGUAAGAGUAGGGGCGUCGGAGGAAUCGAAGUUGCAGUGACAUCAGGCUCGGACAGCCGGCGGACUCCUCGCAAGGUGAUCGGAUACUUCCGAGAGCCCCACAGUCCUCCUGGGCCUUUGCCCUCGCGUCUGGGAUGCGCUCGGGCGCCCCCAGUCUGCGAUGCGUUCGUACCUCCAGUAGGGUGACGUUUUCGCCGGGCCCCUCUGCGAACAGUCUCCGCCCUCCUCCACUGUGAGAUAUUUCACAGUUUCACCCGCAGAGGGCAACCUUAUUCCAAGUUCCCGAGCGCCCUAGGCCUCUUUCUCCUCCCUGCCUAACUGGUGAGGUGGGACUUCAAUGCCUUUUAGGUUUACAGUCUUUUCCUCCCCACGGCUUCUCUUUCCUCCCCGUCUCAGGCACUGGGCAUUUCCAGUCGAUCCAGCAGGUCUGGCUUCUCUCACAUAUGCAGUAAGGGUUAGGGGAGAAGGUCCCAGCUCCUCUUGUCUCUAGCAGAGUGUAAACUGGCUCUGCUGAGGAGGUGGCUGUGCUUUUAUUCCUUCUCCUGAGAACUGUUUAUAUAUUAAGGAGCUUCACAGCCUCCAACAUAAGGAAAGCAGGCCUCAAACUUCUUCAUGGGAAAAGAUGGCUUCUCUUUUUUAAUUGAAUGAACUAGAAGAAGUUCAUUGUUAUUCAUCAACUUCAAAGAGACUAUAUGAGGCCCCUUGGCCAGGACUACAGAGCAGUAUUUUUUAAUCAGAAAUUAUAGCCAAAAAGAAGAGACCAGAACACAUGGUCUUUGGUUUUUGUUAUAGCAGCCUGCAUGGACUAAGACAAGCUCAUUUUCUGGAAAGUCUUGAACUAAGUACUUGAAAAUACAAAGAUAAAUGAAGCACAAGUGCUGACUUCAAGGAAAUGCCAGAAUUGAAAGAAACUACUUUAAAUUUCAUAUGGAACCAAAAAAAGCCCAUAUAGCCAAGAUGAUCCUAAGCAAAAAGAGCAAAGCUGGAGGCAUCAUGCUACCUGGCUUCAAACUAUACUACAAGGCUACAGUAACAAAAACAGCAUGGCACUGGUACUAAAACAGAUAUAUAGACCAAUGGAACAGAACAGAGGCCUCAGAAAUAACGCCACACAUCUACAACCAUCUGAUCUUUGACAAACCUGACAAAAACAAGCAAUGAGGAAAGGAUUCCCUAUUUAAUAAAUGGCGUUGGGAAAACUGGCUAGCCAUAUGCAGAAAACUGAAACUGGACCCCUUCCUGAUACCUUAAACAAAAAUUAAUUCAAGGUAGAUUAAGGACUUAAACAUAAGACCUAAAACCAUAAAAACCCUAGAAGAAAAGCUAGGCAAUACCAUUCAGGACACAGGCAUGGGCAAAGACUUCAUGACUAAAACACCAAAAGCAAUGGCAACAAAAGCCAAAAUAGACAAAUGGGAUCUAAUUAAACUAAAGAGCUUCUGCACAGCAAAAGAAACUAUCAUCAGAGUGAACAGGCAAUCUACAGAAUGGGAGAAAAUUUUUGCAAUCUAUCCAUCUGACAAAGGGCUAAUAUCCAGAAUCUACAAGGAACUUAAACAAAUGUACAAGAAAAAAACAACCUCAACAAAAAGUGGGCAAAGGAUAUGAACAGACACUUCUCAAAAGAAGACAUUUAUGUGGUCAACAAACAUAUGAAAAAAAAGCUCAUCAUCACUGGUCAUUAUAGAAAUGCAAAUCAAAAACACAUGAUUAAAUCAUGAUCAUUAAAAAGUCAGGAAACAACAGAUGCUGGAAAGGAUGUGGAGAAAAUAGGAAUGCUUUUACACUGUUGGUGGGAGUGUAAAUUAGUUCAUCUAUUGUGGAAGACCGUGUGGCGAUUCCUCAAGGAUCUAGAACCAGAAAUACCAUUUGACCCAGCAAUCCCAUUAGUGGGUAUAUACUCAAAGGAUUAUAAAUCAUUCUACUCUAAAGACAUAUGCACAUGUAUGUUUACUGCAGCACUAUUCACAAUAGCAAAGACUUGGAACCAACCCAAAUGCCUAUCAAUGAUAGACUGGAUAAAGAAAAUGUGGCACAUAUACACUAUGGAAUACUAUGCAGCCAUAAAAAAGGAUGUUUGGCCAGGCGUGGUGGCUCACACCUGUAAUCUCAGCACUUUGGGAGGCUGAGGCGGGUGGAUCUCCUGAGGUUAGAAGUUUGAGACCAGCCUGGCUAACAUGGCGAAACCCCGUCUCUACUAAAAAUACAAAAAUCAGCCGGGUGUGGUGGUGUGCACCUGUAGUCCCAGCUACUCUGGAGGCUGAGGCAGAAGAAUCGCUUGAUUCCAGGAGGCGAAGGUUGCAGUGAGCCAAGAACACGCCAUUGCACUCCAACCUGGGCAACAAGAGUGAAACUCCAUCUCAAAAAAAAAAAAAAAAAAAAAAAAGAAGGAUGAGUUCAUGCCCUUUGCAGGGACAUGGAUGAAGCUGGAAACCAUCAUUCUCAGCAAACUAACACAGAAACAGAAAACCAAACACCGCAUGUUCUUGCUCAUAAGUGGGAGGUGAACAAUGAGAACACAUGGACACAGGGAGGGGAAUAUCAUACACCGGAGCCUGUAGGGGGUUAGGGGAGGGAUAGCAUUAGGAGAAAUACCUCAGGUAGAUGACAGGUUGAUGGAUGCAGCAAACCACCAUGGCACAUGUAUACCUAUGUAACAAACCUGCACGUUCUUCUUGCACAUGUAUCCCAGAACUUAAAGUACAAUUAAAAUAUAUAUGUAUAUGGCACUCUACCUUGAAAAAGAAAAUUGCUUAUGGAAGUGGUUACUGCAAGGCCUACAGCCUGUAAGUUAUGAAGCAGCAGAAGGAUGAUCUGAAAUAAGACGUAACAAUGUAACACCAGAUAUGAAUGGAUGGAGCUCAUAAUACACUGGUGAACUAAGGUGGAGGGUAGAUGUUUGAAGUAUGUAUCCUAAUACACAAAAUUCACUGAUAUGCUCA
rnacentral:lncRNA from 1 species